UCCGGUUUGUCACCGGCAGUCCCAUUAGAGUGCCCAACUGAAUGUAGCAACUAAUGGCAAGGGUUGCGCUCGUUGCGGGACUUAACCCAACAUCUCACGACACGAGCUGACGACAGCCAUGCAGCACCUGUGAAAGUGCCCCGAAGGGAAACCGUGUUUCCACGGCGGUCACUCACAUGUCAAGCCCAGGUAAGGUUCUUCGCGUUGCGUCGAAUUAAACCACAUGCUCCGCUGCUUUUUCGGGCCCCCGUCAAUUCCUUUGAGUUUUAGCCUUGCGGCCGUACUCCCCAGGCGGGAUGCUUAAAGCGUUAGCUGCGGCACGGGGGGGGUCGACACCUCCCACACCUAGCAUCCACCGUUUAGGGCGUGGACUAC
rnacentral:misc_RNA from 1 species